UGCAGUCGAACGGUGAAGGCGGAGCUUGCUCUGCUGGAUCAGUGGCGAACGGGUGAGUAACACGUGAGCAAUCUGCCCCUGACUCUGGGAUAAGCGCUGGAAACGGCGUCUAAUACUGGAUACGAGCUGCGAAGGCAUCUUCAGCAGCUGGAAAGAAUUUCGGUCAGGGAUGAGCUCGCGGCCUAUCAGCUUGUUGGUGAGGUAACGGCUCACCAAGGCGUCGACGGGUAGCCGGCCUGAGAGGGUGACCGGCCACACUGGGACUGAGACACGGCCCAGACUCCUACGGGAGGCAGCAGUGGGGAAUAUUGCACAAUGGGCGAAAGCCUGAUGCAGCAACGCCGCGUGAGGGACGACGGCCUUCGGGUUGUAAACCUCUUUUAGCAGGGAAGAAGCGAAAGUGACGGUACCUGCAGAAAAAGCGCCGGCUAACUACGUGCCAGCAGCCGCGGUAAUACGUAGGGCGCAAGCGUUAUCCGGAAUUAUUGGGCGUAAAGAGCUCGUAGGCGGUUUGUCGCGUCUGCUGUGAAACCCCGAGGCUCAACCUCGGGCCUGCAGUGGGUACGGGCAGACUAGAGUGCGGUAGAGGAGAUUGGAAUUCCUGGUGUAGCGGUGGAAUGCGCAGAUAUCAGGAGGAACACCGAUGGCGAAGGCAGAUCUCUGGGCCGUAACUGACGCUGAGGAGCGAAAGGGUGGGGAGCAAACAGGCUUAGAUACCCUGGUAGUCCACCCCGUAAACGUUGGGAACUAGUUGUGGGGUCCAUUCCACGGAUUCCGUGACGCAGCUAACGCAUUAAGUUCCCCGCCUGGGGAGUACGGCCGCAAGGCUAAAACUCAAAGGAAUUGACGGGGACCCGCACAAGCGGCGGAGCAUGCGGAUUAAUUCGAUGCAACGCGAAGAACCUUACCAAGGCUUGACAUAUACGAGAACGGGCCAGAAAUGGUCAACUCUUUGGACACUCGUAAACAGGUGGUGCAUGGUUGUCGUCAGCUCGUGUCGUGAGAUGUUGGGUUAAGUCCCGCAACGAGCGCAACCCUCGUUCUAUGUUGCCAGCACGUAAUGGUGGGAACUCAUGGAAUACUGCCGGGGUCAACUCGGAAGGAAGGUGAAGGAUGACGUCAAAUCAUCAUGGCCCUUAUGUCUUGGGCUUCACGCAUGCUACAAUGG
rnacentral:rRNA from 1 species